rnacentral:tRNA from 1 species
AAAUCCUCCUCUAUCCCCA